rnacentral:sRNA from 1 species
UAGUUUUGUAAAAAUGCCUACCAACGAU